AUUGAACGCUGGCGGCAGGCCUAACACAUGCAAGUCGAACGAGUGGCGGACGGGUGAGUAAUGUCUGGGAAACUGCCAGAUGGAGGGGGAUAACUAAUGGAAACGGUAGCUAAUACCGCAUACAAUCGGAUGUGCCCCGAUGGGAUUAGCUAGUCGGUGGGGGAACGGCUCACCUAGGCGCCGAUCCCUAGCUGGUCGUAGAGGAUGACCAGCCCCACUGGAACGUAGACACGGUCCAGACUCCUACGGGGUGCAGCAGUGGGGAAUAUUGCACAGUGGGCGCAAGCCUGAUGCAGCCAUGCCGCGUGUAUGAAGAAGGCCUUCGGGUUUUACAGUACUUUCAGCGAGGAGUCGUUACUCGCAGAAGAAGCACCGGCUAACUCCGUGCCAGCAGCCGCGGUAAUAC
rnacentral:rRNA from 1 species